ACACGACUACAUUAGAUACCCGCGUAGUCCUAGCCGUAAACGAUACUCGCUAGGUGUCGGCCACGGUGCGACCGUUGUCGGUGCCGUAGGGAAGCCGUGAAGCGAGCCACCUGGGAAGUACGGCCGCAAGGCUGAAACUUAAAGGAAUUGGCGGGGGAGCACAACAACGGGUGGAGCUUGCGGUUUAAUUGGAUUCAACGCCGGAAAUCUUACCGGGACCGACAGCAACAUGAAAGCCAAGCUGAAGACUUUGCCGGAUUAGCUG
rnacentral:rRNA from 1 species